UUUCAAUCCUCCUCUGUCAAAAUCCAGGCUGAUUUGUUAUCAUUGAAAAUGUCUUUUAAAAAUCUUGACAACUUGGAAAAUUGCUGGAAUUGGUUUGGAUUGGUCAGGCAAACUCCCCUUUCACUUGCUUCAGUCCAAUAUCAUGGUGCCGACCCACAACAGCAAAGUUCUUAGCUAGUGUGCCUUAGGCCUUAGGUAGCCUACCCACUCAUUAGAGAGACCAGCUCUUAAAACUUAAGUUUCUGUGAACAGGGGUGGCUUCUGACAGAAGCAAAGGUAGUUUUGUGGUCCCUGGUUCAUCCUUGCCGGUUCGAAUUCGAAUACUCCUCCGGCGAAAUCCGGACCCUGCAAUUUAUAGUCUUUGUAAAUUUGGCCACAAAUGAAAAAAAAUAAAAUCGCAUCCCCUUUCAAUCUCUUCGUCGAAAUUUCACGCAGCCGGGCCAUUUUAAGUGAGUUACGCCUGUUUUAUCUUGGACCGGCUCGCCUGCGUGGUAGGCAGCCCAUCGUACGCUGCCCGCCAGAUUCAAAAGGCCACCUCUUAAAAUGCAAGUUUCUCUGGACGGACAGGGGUGUUUUCUGACGGGACCAAAAGUAGUGUUGUGGUCCCGUGGGUCACCCCUGUCGAUUCGACUACUUUUCCGUCGAAAUCCGGACCCAUUAAUUUUUGCUAAAAACAGGAAGGCUAUAAGCCUUUCUAAAUUUUGCCAAAAAUGAAAAAUUUGAAAAUUGCUGGAAAUGGUUGGGAUUGCUCUGGGAAAGUCGCCUUAGACGUCCUCUGUCGAAAUUGCGUGCUUCUUGACUCCUUUACAUCCUGUUUCUUUGACUAAAAUCAACUCUUUGGUUUGUUGCAGAAAGAUCGGCCUGGAGGUGUACCUGUCCUCGACAUCAGCAAAGCAGCCUGUGUGUCACCUGAUGUAGUUGACCCCGCAGCACACAGCAUGAGAAAUGGUCCCUUUUUCUCAUGAUCACAGGAAUGAAUCAGGUAAUUAGAUUCGCCCAAAGUCACCAGCAGAAACAAGCCGGCAACUUGAGGAAGAAUUACUCUUAUAAUGUAAAUGAUUUGCAACAAUAAAGAAUUAAAAUACUA